rnacentral:tRNA from 1 species
GGUAAGGCCAUGGCCCAGAGGCAGAGCAUCUGCUUUCCAUGUAGAACGUCCCUGGUUCAAUGCCCAGCAUCUCCAGGAUCA